CCGCAUGACAGGAUGCCUGUUAACAUUACCGUAUCGCAUGAUUAAUUAAUAACUGUGUGUUAUUUUCUUGCUUGAAAUGUUACUUUGAUGGCCCUGCAAGCUCCUACAUUGCUGUAUAGGCUGUGAUAUGGUUAAUUGGCUUCUACAAUACUUGUCUCCUCGAGUUGGUACAGAAAGAGUGCUGUAUCCCUGUGGCUAUCUGAGUUCCUAUAAUAUUUCACAUUCCACCCUUCUCCAGCUCUCAUUAGGAUUUAUAUAAUAAGCAUUUAAUUACUCAACCCUACUUAUUCCCCAGAUAUUAGGAUCUUAGAGGCACCGGGUCUAAUUGAGUUAGUACUGGUAUGAUUAAUUAGCUGGAGAAAUGUCAGGAUGGCUCUUUGUCUGGUGGUGAGAGCCUCGGCUAUAGG